rnacentral:rRNA from 1 species
UACGUAGGGGGCUAGCGUUGUCCGGAUUUAUUGGGCGUAAAGAGCGUGUAGGCGGCCAGGUAGGUCUGCUGUGAAAACUCGAGGCUCAACCUCGAGACGUCGGCGGAAACCAUCUGGCUAGAGUCCGGAAGAGGAGAGUGGAAUUCCAGGUGUAGCGGUGAAAUGCGUAGAUAUCGUAAGGAAGACCAGUGGCGAAGGCGGGUCUCUGGACAGUUCCUGACGCUGAGGCACGAAGGCCAGGGGAGCAAACGGG